rnacentral:rRNA from 1 species
GAAUUCGCCCUUAGAGUUUGAUCCUGGCUCAGGACGAACGCUGGCGGCGUGCUUAACACAUGCAAGUCGAACGGAGGUUAUUUUGAAGCGCAAGUAGAUAAAUAACCUUAGUGGCGGACGGGUGAGUAACGCGUGGAUAACCUGCCUGAAUGACCGGGGCAACACCGGGAAACUGGUGCUAAUACCGGAUACGCUCUUAGAUGCCCAUGCAUAUAAGAGGAAAGGAGCAAUCCGCAUACAGAUGGGUCCGCGUCCCAUUAGCUAGUUGGGGGUGUAAGAGACUCCCAAGGCAACGAUGGGUAGCCGGCCUGAGAGGGUGGACGGCCACACUGGAACUGAGACACGGUCCAGACUCCUACGGGAGGCAGCAGUGGGGAAUCUUCCGCAAUGGGCGCAAGCCUGACGGAGCAACGCCGCGUGAAUGAAGAAGGCCUUCGGGUUGUAAAAUUCUGUCAUCAGGGAAGAAAAAAAUGACGGUACCUGAGGAGGAAGCCCCGGCUAACUACGUGCCAGCAGCCGCGGUAAAACGUAGGGGGCGAGCGUUGUCCGGAAUUACUGGGCGUAAAGGGCGUGUAGGCGGUCAUUUAAGUCAGAGGUGAAAACUACCGGCUUAACCGGUAGCCUGCCUUUGAAACUGGGUGACUUGAGGGCAGGAGAGGGGAGUGGAAUUCCCAGUGUAGCGGUGAAAUGCGUAGAUAUUGGGAGGAACACCAGUGGCGAAGGCGGCUCUCUGGCCUGUUUCUGACGCUGAGGCGCGAAAGCGUGGGUAGCGAACGGGAUAAGAUACCCCGGUAGUCCACGCCGUAAACGAUG